rnacentral:rRNA from 1 species
UACGUAGGGUCCGAGCGUUGUCCGGAAUUAUUGGGCGUAAAGGGCUCGUAGGCGGUCCGUCACGUCGGGAGUGAAAACUCGGGGCUUAACUCCGAGCCUGCUUCUGAUACGGGCAGACUAGAGGUAUGCAGGGGAGAAUGGAAUUCCUGGUGUAGCGGUGAAAUGCGCAGAUAUCAGGAGGAACACCGGUGGCGAAGGCGGCCCUCUGGACCGGUACUGACGCUGAUGCGCGAAAGCGUGGGGAGCAAACGGG